GACGAACGCUGGCGGCGUGCUUAACACAUGCAAGUCGAACGGAAAGGCCCUGCUUUUGUGGGGUGCUCGAUUGGCGCACGGGUGAGUAACACGUGUGUAACCUGCCCUUGACUUUGUGAUAACUUCAGGAAACUGGGGCUCAUACCGGAUAGGAGCUCCUGCUGCAUGUUGGGGGAUGGAAAGUUUCGGUGGUUGGGGAUCGACUCGCGGGUUAUCAGCUUGUUGGUGGGGUAGUGGCUUACCAAGGCUUUGACGGGUAGCCGGCCUGAGAGGGUGACCGGCCACAUUGGGACUGAGAUACGGCCCAGACGGCUACGGGAGGCAGAAGGGGGGAAUAUUGCACAAUGGGCGGAAGCCUGAUGCAGCAACGCCGCGUGCGGGAUGACGGCCUUCGGGGUGUAAACCGCUUUCGCCGGUGACGAAGCGUGAGUGACGGUAAUGGGUAAAGAAGCACCGGCUAACUACGUG
rnacentral:rRNA from 1 species